rnacentral:rRNA from 1 species
UGGCGGCGUGCCUAAUACAUGCAAGUCGAACGAGUUCUCGUUGAUGAUCGGUGCUUGCACCGAGAUUCAACAUGGAACGAGUGGCGGACGGGUGAGUAACACGUGGGUAACCUGCCCUUAAGUGGGGGAUAACAUUUGGAAACAGAUGCUAAUACCGCAUAGAUCCAAGAACCGCAUGGUUCUUGGCUGAAAGAUGGCGUAAGCUAUCGCUUUUGGAUGGACCCGCGGCGUAUUAGCUAGUUGGUGAGGUAAUGGCUCACCAAGGCGAUGAUACGUAGCCGAACUGAGAGGUUGAUCGGCCACAUUGGGACUGAGACACGGCCCAAACUCCUACGGGAGGCAGCAGUAGGGAAUCUUCCACAAUGGACGCAAGUCUGAUGGAGCAACGCCGCGUGAGUGAAGAAGGCUUUCGGGUCGUAAAACUCUGUUGUUGGAGAAGAAUGGUCGGCAGAGUAACUGUUGUCGGCGUGACGGUAUCCAACCAGAAAGCCACGGCUAACUACGUGCCAGCAGCCGCGGUAAUACGUAGGUGGCAAGCGUUAUCCGGAUUUAUUGGGCGUAAAGCGAGCGCAGGCGGUUUUUUAAGUCUGAUGUGAAAGCCCUCGGCUUAACCGAGGAAGCGCAUCGGAUACUGGGAAACUUGAGUGCAGAAGAGGACAGUGGAACUCCAUGUGUAGCGGUGAAAUGCGUAGAUAUAUGGAAGAACACCAGUGGCGAAGGCGGCUGUCUGGUCUGUAACUGACGCUGAGGCUCGAAAGCAUGGGUAGCGAACAGGAUUAGAUACCCUGGUAGUCCAUGCCGUAAACGAUGAAUGCUAGGUGUUGGAGGGUUUCCGCCCUUCAGUGCCGCAGCUAACGCAUUAAGCAUUCCGCCUGGGGAGUACGACCGCAAGGUUGAAACUCAAAGGAAUUGACGGGGGCCCGCACAAGCGGUGGAGCAUGUGGUUUAAUUCGAAGCAACGCGAAGAACCUUACCAGGUCUUGACAUCUUUUGAUCACCUGAGAGAUCAGGUUUCCCCUUCGGGGGCAAAAUGACAGGUGGUGCAUGGUUGUCGUCAGCUCGUGUCGUGAGAUGUUGGGUUAAGUCCCGCAACGAGCGCAACCCUUAUGACUAGUUGCCAGCAUUUAGUUGGGCACUCUAGUAAGACUGCCGGUGACAAACCGGAGGAAGGUGGGGAUGACGUCAAAUCAUCAUGCCCCUUAUGACCUGGGCUACACACGUGCUACAAUGGAUGGUACAACGAGUUGCGAGACCGCGAGGUCAAGCUAAUCUCUUAAAGCCAUUCUCAGUUCGGACUGUAGGCUGCAACUCGCCUACACGAAGUCGGAAUCGCUAGUAAUCGCGGAUCAGCACGCCGCGGUGAAUACGUUCCCGGGCCUUGUACACACCGCCCGUCACACCAUGAGAGUUUGUAACACCCGAAGCCGGUGGCGUAACCCUUUUAGGGAGCGAGCCGUCUAAGGUGGGACAAAUGAUUAGGGUGAAGUAGUAAC